rnacentral:rRNA from 1 species
AGCUCCAAUAGCGUAUAUUAAAGUUGUUGCAGUUAAAAAGCUCGUAGUUGGAUUUCUGGGAGGGUGACAAUGUCCGUUCUCAAACGAGCGCAGCGGCACCCUUCCAUCCUUCUGUUAACGCUUCUCCGCAUUGAUUUGCUGGUGGCGGGCUCAGAUAUUUUACCUUGAGAAAAUUAGAGUGUUUCAGGCAGGCUAGGCACGGAAUACAUUAGCAUGGAAUAAUGGAAUAGGACUACGGUCUCUUUGUUGGUUUGAGGGACAGCAGUAAUGAUUAAUAGGGAUAGUUGGGGGCAUUAGUAUUUAAUUGUCAGAGGUGGAAUUCUCAGAUUUGUUAAAGACUAACUUAUGCGAAAGCAUUUGCCAAGGAUGUUUUCA